rnacentral:rRNA from 1 species
AGUGAACGCUGGCGGUAGGCCUAACACAUGCAAGUCGAACGGCAGCACAGUAAGAGCUUGCUCUUACGGGUGGCGAGUGGCGGACGGGUGAGGAAUACAUCGGAAUCUACUUUUUCGUGGGGGAUAACGUAGGGAAACUUACGCUAAUACCGCAUACGACCUACGGGUGAAAGCAGGGGAUCUUCGGACCUUGCGCGAUUGAAUGAGCCGAUGUCGGAUUAGCUAGUUGGCGGGGUAAAGGCCCACCAAGGCGACGAUCCGUAGCUGGUCUGAGAGGAUGAUCAGACACAGGGGAAAGGGGAGGCGGGGCAACACCUGACGGGAGGAAGGGGGGGGAAAUAUUGGGAAGGGGGCGAAAGGGUAAACCGGCCAAACGGGGUGGGUGAAAAAGACCUAGGGGUUGUAAAGCCUUUUUGUUGGGAAAGAAAAACGACAGGCUAAAACCCCGGUUUUUGGAAGGAACCCAAAAAAAAAGCACGGGUAAAUUUGGG